rnacentral:lncRNA from 1 species
UAAGUAUUAUUCCUGGGAACACUAUCAGUGUUUGCCAUCUCAUGGCCUGUAUGUCACAGUUAAUUCCCUCAGUGUUAAUUGCCUUUAUUUUAUCCCCAUAAGCGCUUGAGGCUUAUGUUCCAGGGCUUGUGUCCACCGCCGGCCAUAUCUAGAGAAUGCUUUGACACAUGGUUACAACACAUUGGCUGUGGCUUGCACAUACACUUUGUAGAUGAUGUUGUCCAGGAAACCACCCUAGUAAAGAAGCAACUAGGUUUUCUGAAUGAAAGAAAGGCCUCAAAUCUCACAAUCCUUGUAAUUUGCAUUUGAUGGCAAAACUAAGAGUGUAUUCCAGGUGGUUAGUGAUAACAGUGCUUUGCAUACUGAGCUCAGCAAUGUUGAUUUUUCUCCUCUUAAAGCUAUGCAGUGGUUUGGCAUUGAUAAGAGGGCUCAGCACCAACCUUUCCCUCCACCAAACAAAACAAAAAUGUAUCAGACACCCAGACAAGUUGGCCUGGCCUCUCCCACUUUGUGGCAUUAAUCUAGAUGUUCAGUAGAGUGCAAACCAGAGCAAAGUCAAUAGUCACGUGGACCGAAGUUACUGUUACAGGAGAUGGCUGAUGGUUAUAUUUUAAACAUUUUUUUAAAAUUGCAUCGAGUAAGUCAGUUUUAGAUUUUAGAUAUGAAAAGGCACACACCUUUAAUCUCAGCACUUGAAAGGCAGAGAUAGGUGGAUUUCUGAGUUCGGGGCCAGCCUGGUCUACAGAGUGAGUUCCGGGACAGCCAGGUCUACACAGAGAAACCCUGUCUCGAAAAACCAAAAAAUGAAAGAAAGAAACAUAUUAUGACAGACACAAAAAGGUAAGACACUUAAACACUCCAAAUGCAUUGAAAUGAUCACUAACCUGAAGGUUUAAGUACAAGGAGCAAAUAAAAAAAACCACACAUAGAAUAAUUUGCCCAAGUACUUAUUAUUGAUCACCUUCUGUUUUCCUGACACUGCAACAGUGAAGAUGAAGUUCUGAGCCUGACCACCUUUGGUGAAUCAGUGAGAACUGUCGCAUUGAUGUCUUAGAGUUUUCCAAGUGCAUCAUUUCAGCUGACCAACAACGUCUGUGCCCUGUGUUGGGAACUAAAGCUAAGAGAAUGCAAAUGAUUCACUCAAGGUGAUAUAUAAGUAAAAUGUCCCUGGGCAGCUCAAUUCUAGAACCCAAGACUUUUCAACAUUUUCCUACUGCCAAAGCAGCUCUCAAAGAUAGAGAUACAUACAAUUACUUAAUGAGCAUCGAGUGGAUUAAGUGGUACUAGGUUCUCUGAAUGAACCUAGGGCCUAGUUUUCCUUUUGCUUUGAAAAUUUCUUUAGCUGACCUUUGCUCUCCAUUAGUAACUGUUUAAGUCUCAGUAACUUUGAAAAGGGAACAUUUUUUGGUGGACUAAUCACAAACACUAGAAAGGGCUUUUGGGACAGCAGAGAAACAGGUGCAGACAGAUUGUUGUAAAGUCAAUACCGCUUGCUGGGGCGAGGGGUCGUGGUGUGGCCAAUAUCUUAAAGCUUCAAGGCUUUCUGGGAAAUAAGCCACAUGCAAACUGUGAAUGUAAUGGCCAAGCAUUUGAAGUUUACGGUUUUGCUUUUGUGGCAAAGAGAAAUAUAGUUAAUGACAAUCCAUUUUAAUGACAAAAGAUAGAGAAACAAAAAGCAAAACUGAGGUCAUUCAGUUUAUAGAAGAUAAGGUUUAUUUUCUGAUGUAUUAAUCAGAAAUUUGGGUCCUAGCUUUGUUCGCCUUGUCUUAACAUAAAAGACAAGUUGCGAGGUUGAGAGAAGCUGCACAGUUACAGUUGGGCAUUAUCGAUUUUGGCAGGGGAAGUAUUCUAAGUAUUCUCCAAGCCUUUUCCUGCAUAGGGAACUCAUACAUAGAGAUCAGUGUUCUUCACUGACCUCUCUCCCUACUACUGAAUCCUUUCAAGUGAACUUUUCCCAAAGUAAAGCUAAUAUCCAUAGACCAAAAUUGGCUUCAAUGGGGGUUCUUCCAGAUCCUUUUAUACUGAACCAUGUAGCUAUGUCAAGCAUCCUUUCCUAUGAGGAUUGGUAAGGUCCAAAUAGUAUCACAAGGUAACCUUCCAGUGCACAUUUAUUCAAAACAGUAAGUCAACCACUGCCUUCGCCCUACCAACAGCCCUAUCAGACAAGCUGGACCAAUGACUAUUUUCAGAGAUGAGCUACAUCUGUUGCAUAUUGUGGCUGGAAGCACUGCAGUCAGG